GCGUGCACUGAUGAAAGGUCUUCAGGAUCGUAAAGUUCUGUUGUUAGGGAAGAACAAGUACCGUGCGAAUAGAGCGGUACCUUGACGGUACCUAACGAGGAAGCCCCGGCUACUACGUGCCACCAGCCGCGGUA
rnacentral:rRNA from 1 species